rnacentral:SRP_RNA from 1 species
CCCAGGCACGGUUGUGCAUGCCUGUAGUCCCAGCUACUCAAGAGGCUGAGACUGGAGGAUUUCUUGAGUCCAGGAGUUCUGGGUGGUAGUGCGCUAUGCCAAUCAGGUGUCCGAACCAAGUUUGGCAUCAAUAUGGUGACCUCCUGGGAGCGGGGGACCACCAGGUUGCCUAAGGAAGGGUGCACUGGCCCAGGUUGGAAACGGAGCAGAUCAAAACUCCCGUACUGAUCAGUAGUGGGAUCGUGCCUGUGAAUAGCCACUGCACUCCAGCCUGGGCAACAUAGCGAGACCACCGUCUCU